ensembl:lncRNA
AGUUGACGUCGCAGUAGUGGUUGGCGUGGUUAUGCUUUCGGUUGUUGUGGGAGUUGUGGUCGUUGCUGUAGCUGUUGACAUCGCGGCAGUGGUCGCCGUGGUGGUGGUUUCGGUUGUCAAGGGAGUUGUGGUCAUUUCAGUAGUGGUUGACGUCGCGGUAGUGGUCGGCAUGGUGGUGGUUUCGGUUGUCAUGGGAGUUGUAGUCGUUGCUGUAGUAGUUGACGUCUCGGUAGUGGUCGGAGCUGUUGUGCUUUGGGUUGUCGUGGGAGUUGUUGUCGUUGCUGUAGUAGUUGACGUCGUGGAAGUGGUUGACGCCGCGGCAGUGGUCGGCGUGGUGGUUGUGGUUUCGGUUGUCGUGGGAGUUGUCAUUUCAGUAGUGGUUGACGUCGCGGCAGUGGUCGGCAUGGUGGUGGUUCCGGUUGUCGUAGGAGUUGUAGUCGUUGCAGUAGUGGUUGACGUCGCGGCAGUGUUCGGCAUGGUGGUGGUUCCGGUUGUCGUGGGAGUUGUUGUCGUUUCAGCAGUAGUUGACAUCGUGGUACUUGUCAGGGUGGUGGUUGUUUCGGUUGUCGUGGGAGUUGUUGUCGUUGCUGUAGUAGUUGACGUCACGGUAGUGGUCGGAGCUGUUGUGCUUUGGGUUGUCGUGGGAGUUGUAGUCGUUGCAGUAGUAGUUGACGUCGCGGUAGUGGGUGAUGCCGCAGCAGUGGUCGGCGUGGUGGUGGUUCCGGUUGUCGUGGGAGUUGUAGUAGUUGCAGUAGAAGUUGACGUCGCAGUAGUGGUUGGCGUGGUUAUGCUUUCGGUUGUUGUGGGAGUUGUGGUCGUUGCUGUAGCUGUUGACAUCGCGGCAGUGGUCGCCGUGGUGGUGGUUUCGGUUGUCAAGGGAGUUGUGGUCAUUUCAGUAGUGGUUGACGUCGCGGUAGUGGUCGGCAUGGUGGUGGUUUCGGUUGUCAUGGGAGUUGUAGUCGUUGCUGUAGUAGUUGACGUCGCAGAAGUGGUUGACGCCGCGGCAGUAGUCGGCGUGGUGGUGGUGGUUUCGAUUGUCGUGGGAGUUUUAGUCGUUGCAGUCGUAGUUGACGUCGCGGUAGUGGUCGGAGCUGUUGUGCUUUGGGUUGUCGUGGGAGUUGUCGUUUCAGUAGUAGUUGACAUCGUGGUACUUGUCAGGGUGGUGGUUGUUUCGGUUGUCGUGGGAGUUGUUGUCGUUGCUGUAGUAGUUGACGUCACGGUAGUGGUCGGAGCUGUUGUGCUUUGGGUUGUCGUGGGAGUUGUUGUCGUUGCUGUAGUAGUUGACGUCGCGGUAGUGGGUGAUGCCGCAGCAGUGGUCGCCGUGGUGGUGGUUUCGGUUGUCAUGGGAGUUGUGGUCAUUUCAGUAGUGGUUGACGUCGCGGCAGUGGUCGCCAUGGUGGUGGUUCCGGUUGUCGUGGGAGUUGCUGUCGUUGCUGUAGUAGUUGACGCAGAGGUAGUGGUCGGAGUGGUUGUGCUUUCGGUUGUUGUGGGAGUUGUAGUCGUUGCUGUAGCUGUUGACAUCGCGGCAGUGGUCGCCGUGGUGGUGGUUUCGGUUGUCAAGGGAGUUGUGGUCAUUUCAGUAGUGGUUGACGUCGCGGCAGUGGUCGGCAUGGUGGUGGUUUCGGUUGUCAUGGGAGUUGUUGUCGUUGCUGAAGUAGUUGACGUCGUGGUAGUGGUUGGAGCUGUUGUGCUUUGGGUUGUCGUGGGAGUUGUAGUCGUUGCAGUAGUAGUUGAAGUCGCGGCAGUGGUCGGCGUGGUUGUGCUUUCAGUUGUCGUGGGAGUUGUCAUUUCAGUAGUGGUUGACGUCGCGGCAGUGGUCAGCAUGGUGGUGGUUCCGGUUGUCGUAGGAGUUGUAGUCGUUGCAGUAGUGGUUGACGUCGCGGCAGUGGUCGGCAUGGUGGUGGUUCCGGUUGUCGUGGGAGUUGUAGUCGUUGCAGUAGUGGUUGACGUCGCGGCAGUGUUCGGCAUGGUGGUGGUUCCGGUUGUCGUGGGAGUUGUUGUCGUUUCAGUAGUUGUUGUCGUUUCAGUAGUAGUUGACAUCGCGGUAGUGGGUGAUGCCGCAGCAGUGGUCGGCGUGGUGGUGGUUCCGGUUGUCGUGGGAGUUGUAGUAGUUUCAGUAGAAGUUGACGUUGCAGUAGUGGUUGGUGUGGUUAUGCUUUCGGUUGUUGUGGGAGUUGUGGUCGUUUCAGUAGUGGUUGACGCAGAGGUAGUGGUCGGAGUGGUUGUGCUUUCGGUUGUUGUGGGAGUUGUAGUCGUUGCUUUAGUAGUUGACGUUGCGGUAGUGGGUGAUGCCGCAGCAGUGGUCGGCGUGGUGGUGGUUUCGGUUCUCGUGGGAGUUGUAGUCAUUUCAGAAGUCGUUGACGUUCCGGUAGUGGGUGAUGCCGCAGCAGUGGUCGGCGUGGUGGUGGUUCCGGUUGUCGUGGGAGUUGUAGUAGUUUCAGUAGAAGUUGACGUUGCAGUAGUGGUUGGUGUGGUUAUGCUUUCGGUUGUUGUGGGAGUUGUAGUCGUUUCAGUAGUGGUUGACGUCGCGGCAGUGGUCGGCAUGGUGGUGGUUCCGGUUGUCGUGGGAGUUGUAGUCGUUGCAGUAGUGGUUGACGUCGCGGCAGUGUUCGGCAUGGUGGUGGUUCCGGUUGUCGUGGGAGUUGUAGUCAUUUCAGUAGUGAUUGACGCAGAGGUAGUGGUCGGAGUGGUUGUGCUUUCGGUUGUUGUGGGAGUUGUAGUCGUUUCAGUAGUGGUUGACGUCGCGGUCGUGGUUGGAGUGUUUGUGGUUUCGGUUGUCGUGGGAGUUGUAGUCAUUUCAGGAGUAGUUGACGUUGCGGUAGUGGUCGGAGUGGUUGUGCUUUCGGUUGUCGUUGGAGUAGUAGUCGUUUCAGUUGUAGUUGACGUCGCAGUAGUGGUUGGCGUGGUUAUGCUUUCGGUUAUCGUGGGAGUUGUUGUCGUUGCUGUAGUAGUUGACGUCGCAGAAGUGGUUGACACCGCGGCAGUCGUCGGCGUGGUGGUGGUUCCGGUUGUCGUGGGAGUUGUAGUCGUUGCAGUAGUGGUUGACGUCGCGGCAGUGUUCGGCAUGGUGGUGGUUUCGGUUGUCGUGGGAGUUGUUGUCGUUUCAGUAGUAGUUGACGCAGAGGUAGUGGUCGGAGCUGUUGUGCUUUGGGUUGUCGUGGGAGUUGUUGUCGUUGCUGUAGUAGUUGACGUCGCGGUAGUGGGUGAUGCCGCAGCAGUGGUCGGCGUGGUGGUGGUUCCGAUUGUCGUGGGAGUUGUUGUCGUUUCAGUAGUAGUUGACAUCGCGGUAGUGGGUGAUGCCGCAGCAGUGGUCGGCGUGGUGGUGGUUCCGGUUGUCGUGGGAGUUGUAGUAGUUUCAGUAGAAGUUGACGUUGCAGUAGUGGUUGGUGUGGUUAUGCUUUCGGUUGUUGUGGGAGUUGUGGUCGUUUCAGUAGUGGUUGACGCAGAGGUAGUGGUCGGAGUGGUUGUGCUUUCGGUUGUUGUGGGAGUUGUAGUCGUUGCUGUAGUAGUUGACGUCGCGGUAGUGGGUGAUGCCGCAGCAGUGGUCGGCGUGGUGGUGGUUCCGGUUGUCGUGGGAGUUGUAGUAGUUUCAGUAGAAGUUGACGUUGCAGUAGUGGUUGGUGUGGUUAUGCUUUCGGUUGUUGUGGGAGUUGUAGUCGUUUCAGUAGUGGUUGACGUCGCGGUCGUGGUUGGAGUGUUUGUGGUUUCGGUUGUCGUGGGAGGUGUAAUCAUUUCAGUAGUGGUUGACGUCGCGGUAGUGGUCGGAGUGGUUGUGCUUUCGGUUGUUGUGGGAGUUGUAGUCAUUUCAGGAGUAGUUGACGUUGCGGUAGUGGUCGGAGUGGUUGUGCUUUCGGUUGUCGUUGGAGUAGUAGUCGUUUCAGUUGUAGUUGACGUUGCAGUAGUGGUUGGCGUGGUUAUGCUUUCGGUUAUCGUGGGAGUUGUUGUCCUUGCUGUAGUAGUUGACGUCGCAGAAGUGGUUGACGCUGCGGCAGUAGUCGGCGUGGUGGUGGUUUCAGUUCUCGUGGGAAUUGUAGUCGUUGCAGUAGUAGUUGACGUCGUGGAAGUGGUUGACGCCGCGGCAGUGGUCGGCGUGGUGGUUGUGCUUUCGAUUGUUGUGGGAGUUGUAGUAGUUGCAGUAGAAGUUGACGUCGCAGUAGUGGUUGGCGUGGUUAUGCUUUCAGUUGUCAUGGGAGUUGUCGUUUCAGUAGUGGUUGACGUCGUGGAAGUGGUUGACGCCGCAGCAGUAGUCAGCGUGGUGGUCGUUUCAGUAGUAGCUGAGGCCACGGUAGUGGUCGGCGUGGUUGUGCUUUCGGUUGUCAUGGGAGUUGUAGUCAUUUCAGUAAUAGUUGACGUCGCGGAAGUGGGUGACACCGCAGCAGUGGUCGGCGUGGUGGUGGUUUCGGUUGUCGUGGGAGUUGACGUCGUUUCAGAAGUAGUUGAAGUCGCGGUAGUGGUCGGCGUGGUGAUGCUUUCGGUUGUCGUGGGAGUUGUAGUCGUUGCAGUAGCUGUUGAUAUCGCGGCAGUGCUCAGCGUGGUGGUGGUUUCAGUUGUCGAGGGAGGUGUAGUCAUUUCAGUAGUAGUUGACGCAGAGGUAGUGGUCGGAGUGGUUGUGCUUUCGGUUGUUGUGGGAGUUGUAGUCGUUUCAGUAGUGGUUGACGUCGCGGUCGUGGUUGGAGUGUUUGUGGUUUCGGUUGUUGUGGGAGUUGUAGUCAUUUCAGGAGUAGUUGACGUUGCAGUAGUGGUCGGAGUGGUUGUGCUUUCGGUUGUCGUUGGAGUAGUAGUCGUUUCAGUUGUAGUUGACGUCGCAGUAGUGGUCGGCGUGGUUGUGCUUUCGGUUGUCGUUGUCAUUGUAAUCAUUUCUGUAGUACCUGAUGUCACUGUUGUGGUCGGAGUGGUUGUGUUUUCGGUUGCCGUUGGAGUUGUAGUCGUUUCGUUUGUAUUUUGGCCUUUUAUUGCUGUGGCUUGAGAGCAAUGUGCAAACAUUAGUUUUAAAUUUUAAUUUAAGCCUUUGUGCUUUUACAUUUUUCGAUGUAUACUUUAUACUAUGUUAAACCAUGUAGAAUUUGUUUAUCUUAGUCUUGAAGUUUAACAUUUUUUCAAAAUCUUUUUAUUGGAUAUCCUCAGUUCAGUAGAUUCCAGAUUGAUUCUAUAUAUUUUCCAUUUUGCUUAUUUAAUAAUAUGUUAAAUUUAUGUUCAUGAUGCUGAAGGUGUGAAUUGUUGAAGGAAUCAUUUCAUGGCUCUUUAUCCUUACCAGUCAAAAGAAAGAGUGCGAAUCUCCCCACCGUCCACAUAGUGGCAAGAAGUUCUCGUCACCUGCAAUGUGAACACUUUCUUUAGUAUUAAUACGAGUUCAGCGUGAAGAGCUCCAUGUUUAGUAUUUAUAUGAGUGCAGUGUCAAGUGCUCAGUGUUGACUAAUAGUAUGAUUACAGUGUUAAGGACUGUUUUCCUAUGCUUCAAAGCCAAUAAUUUGUGUUGUUUGUAUUUGUACAUUGAUCAAAUGUUAUUACUUCCCUAAGUAUUGUGUUCCAAUUUGAUAUGCUGACAGUACAUAAAGAUUGCACAAGCCAGGCGGUUUGUUAUAGAGUAAAUU